UCAGUAACACGUAGUCAACAUGCCCAGGGGACGUGGAUAACCUCGGGAAACUGAGGAUAAACCGCGAUAAGUCACUACUUCUGGAAUGGGUAAUGACUUAAAUCUAUAUGGCCCCUGGAUUGGACUGCGGCCGAUCAGGCUGUUGGUGAGGUAAUGGCCCACCAAACCUGUAACCGGUACGGGCUCUGAGAGGAGGAGCCCGGAGAUGGGCACUGAGACAAGGGCCCAGGCCCUAUGGGGCGCAGCAGGCGCGAAACCUCUGCAAUAGGCGAAAGCCUGACAGGGUUACUCUGAGUGAUUUCCGUUAAGGAGAUCUUUUGGCACCUCUAAAAAUGGUGCAGAAUAAGGGGUGGGCAAGUCUGGUGCCAGC
rnacentral:rRNA from 1 species